CCCUGCAAUGUCUCUGCAAGAUUGCAACGUUUCUGCAAUGUAACUGCAACCAUCUGUGCUGUAUGGGGUAGGACCACUCACUCCAGUAUGUUGUAGAACUCGCUGGUAACUAUCUUAACGGUUCAAGAUUCACUUGUACUUACACAAUACUCCUCUCAUUUUACACAUCGAAUAUCAGGGAAGACAUACAAACUCCAGCAAUCAAGUUUAGAUAUUGUAGUUAUACCACGCAAUUUUGUAAUUUUUAUAAUUUUUUACACAAUCAAGUGCCUUUUUAUAUCUAUCUUUAAAGAUCAAUUAUGGCAAUUUUUUAAAUAUUUAUAAGAAGGGAUAACUUCCAGUAAGUCAGUCAAUUUGCCUUGGCUUAAACUGUAUUUUAUCAGAAAAUUACAUAUUUUCUAGAAAUAGAUUUUUACUGCUAUAUACAAAAAUGUAUAUUUGUACUAUUUUUUCUAUUUUAAUAUUACUAUAGUACAAAUUAUGAACCUUACUAAUAUCGAAUUAGUCGAUUAUUAUAACCCCAGAUAUUAAGGAUAAGACUGCUAAAACCGUCCAGAUUAAUCAUACGAUCAAUUUAGUGUUAACGCGGCAUUUUGCUAGCUUCUUAUUUUUGUAUAUAUUUUCAUAAUAAUAUUUAGCCUUUUACUGCCAUACAAUAUAAACAAGGCAUAAUUUGUAACGUUGUAUCACCGGUAUGCUUUAUUCCAACAUAUCAUUUAAUAUGUCGCGCUCAAAAUUUACCACAAAACUGUUGGAUGAUUGUAUGAAGUAUAGAUAAUAAAACCACUUCUGGAAACUGAA